GAUGAACGCUGGCGGCGUGCCUUAUACAUGCAAGUCGAGUGGGUUUAGACCCACGGCAAACGGGUGAGUAACACGUAGGUACUUUCCUUGUCACAGGAAUAACCCUCCGAAAGGAGGGCUAAUACCUGAUGUGAUCGCAAGAUUAAAGGGUAUCCGCAAGGAUUACCGGACAAGAAGAGGCCUGCGGCCUAUCAGCUAGUUGGCGGGGUAAAUGCCCACCAAGGCUAUGACGGGUAGCUGGUAUUAUGAGGAUGAUCAGUCAAAUGGGCACUGAGACACGGGCCCAACUCCUACGGGAGGCAGCAGUAGGGAAUUUUGCGCAAUGGGCGAAAGCCUGACGCAGCGACGCCGCGUGCGGGAUGAAGGCCUUCGGGUCGUAAACAGCUUUUAUAAGGGACGAACUUUGACGGUACCUUAUGAAUAAGAGGUUGCUAACUCUGUG
rnacentral:rRNA from 1 species